GGCCUUUUAGAAAACAUGGAGUUGUUCCUUUGGCCACGUAUAUGCGAAUCUAUAAGAAAGGUGAUAUUGUAGACAUCAAGGGAAUGGGUACUGUUCAAAAAGGAAUGCCCCACAAGUGUUACCAUGGCAAAACUGGGAGAGUCUACAACGUUACCCAGCAUGCUGUUGGCAUUGUUGUAAACAAACAAGUUAAGGGCAAGAUUCUUGCCAAGAGAAUUAAUGUGCGUAUUGAGCACAUUAAGCACUCUAAGAGCCGAGAUAGCUUCCUGAAACGCGUGAAGGAAAAUGAUCAGAAAAAGAAAGAAGCCAAAGAGAAAGGUACCUGGGUUCAGCUGAAGCGCCAGCCUGCUCCACCCAGAGAAGCACACUUUGUGAGGACCAAUGGGAAGGAGCCUGAGCUGCUGGAACCUAUUCCCUAUGAAUUCAUGGCAUAAUAGGUGUUAAAAAAAAUAAAUAAAUAAAAGACCUCUGGGCU